UGCAAGUCGAGCGGCAGCGGGAAGUAGCUUGCUACUUUGCCGGCGAGCGGCGGACGGGUGAGUAAUGUCUGGGAAACUGCCUGAUGGAGGGGGAUAACUACUGGAAACGGUAGCUAAUACCGCAUGACGUCGCAAGACCAAAGUGGGGGACCUUCGGGCCUCACGCCAUCGGAUGUGCCCAGAUGGGAUUAGCUAGUAGGUGGGGUAAUGGCUCACCUAGGCGACGAUCCCUAGCUGGUCUGAGAGGAUGACCAGCCACACUGGAACUGAGACACGGUCCAGACUCCUACGGGAGGCAGCAGUGGGGAAUAUUGCACAAUGGGCGCAAGCCUGAUGCAGCCAUGCCGCGUGUGUGAAGAAGGCCUUAGGGUUGUAAAGCACUUUCAGCGAGGAGGAAGGCGUUGUAGUUAAUAGCUGCAACGAUUGACGUUACUCGCAGAAGAAGCACCGGCUAACUCCGUGCCAGCAGCCGCGGUAAUACGGAGGGUGCAAGCGUUAAUCGGAAUUACUGGGCGUAAAGCGCACGCAGGCGGUUUGUUAAGUCAGAUGUGAAAUCCCCGAGCUUAACUUGGGAACUGCAUUUGAAACUGGCAAGCUAGAGUCUUGUAGAGGGGGGUAGAAUUCCAGGUGUAGCGGUGAAAUGCGUAGAGAUCUGGAGGAAUACCGGUGGCGAAGGCGGCCCCCUGGACAAAGACUGACGCUCAG
rnacentral:rRNA from 1 species